rnacentral:tRNA from 1 species
UGGCCUCGUGGCGCAACUGAAUAGCGCAUCUGAUUACGGCUCAGAAGGUUACAGGUUUGAAUCCUGUCGAGGUCACUAA